rnacentral:rRNA from 1 species
GGAGUCUGGUCCGUGUCUCAGUACCAGUGUGGGGGUUUAGCCUCUCAGCUCCCCUAGACAUCGUCGCCUUGGUAAGCCGUUGCCUUACCAACUAGCUAAUGUCACGCAUGCCCAUCCCGUACCACCGAAGCUUUAGUCACCUGACCAUGCGAUCCAGUGACUCCAUGGGAUAUUAGUGGAAAUUUCUCUCCGUUAUCCCCCUGUACAGGGUAGGUUGCAUACGCGUUACGCACCCGUGCGCCGGUCGCCAGCAGAGUAUUGCUACUCCCUGCUGCCCCUCGACUUGCAUGUGUUAAGCCUGCCGCUAGCGUUCAUC